GCCCGACUGGCUCAGUCAGUGGAGCAUGCAACUCUUGAUCUCAUGGUUGUGGGUUCGAGCCCCACAUUGGGUA
rnacentral:tRNA from 1 species